CCCAGAGGCUGGGGCCCUGUCCCCCAGAAAUGCCACAGACCUCCUCUGGUCCUUGCAUGGCACCCAUGGCACUCCCUGCUUCCUUUACUACACAGAGGUACCAUUCACAGCGGAUUCAUCCCGGAGGGUGCCAUUCUGGAGAAUUGUGCUCAAGCGUCUUGUUGGAAGUCUACCAUGAGGGAAAGGCUUUCCAUAGCAAGAUGCCGGGCAAAGGGGCAAGAUGGGCAGCAGGGUUAAGCGCUUGCCCCUCUGCAGGGUUAAGGAGAGCUUAGGGAACUAUGCUACUGAUACCAGGAGCAGUGGCAAAGCUGCAUGCUCUGCUACCAGGGGCGGAGAGCAGACAGGGGCAUGGCUGGUGCCCCCCAGGGCGUGGCGCCCAGUACACAAGAGGGUGCACAGCACGUGUCCAGAGGGCGCUGCGAUGGCACUCUACCGGAAUAGUGGUGCCAGGGGCGGUCCUCUCCCUCCGCACUCCCGUUCCUCCACCAGUGACCAGACCUUUUCUCUUUUUUUUAACCAGGGAUUCCUGCAUUGGGGAAAUGACUUGAGCUGCUGUGAGCAUCCUUUUCUUAUGUCAAUGGCUUCUGCCAACUAACUCCAAUCAGGAUCUAUGUUCUGCCAGGCUCCACCCUGCUGGUUCUACCUGGGCUCCACCCUGGGGGCCAGAAUUUUAAAUGUUUAAAAUGUGCAGCUC